UACGUAGGUGGCAAGCGUUAUCCGGAUUUAUUGGGCGUAAAGGGAACGCAGGCGGUCUUUUAAGUCUGGUGUAAAAGGCAGUGGCUCAACCAUUGUAUGCAUUGGAAACUGGUAGACUUGAGUGCAGGAGAGGAGAGUGGAAUUCCAUGUGUAGCGGUGAAAUGCGUAGAUAUAUGGAGGAACACCGGUGGCGAAAGCGGCUCUCUGGCCUGUAACUGACACCGAGGCUCGAAAGCGUGGGGAGCAAACAGG
rnacentral:rRNA from 1 species